GGAGUAAUACAUAACGAUCGAUGCCCUCUUAUUUAAUACACUUGCAUUCAGGGGCAGAUCCACGUUAAGCAAGAGUGGGGCAUGUGCCCCAUACUGAUUAUUUUACUUUCCGGAGGUAAUACCGUAAUAGUUGUUGCUGGUCCAUUGGGUUUGUUGAUUGCCCGUGAUAUCAAUAGCCCUUAGGAAUUAGAGUUCAAUUCCC
rnacentral:lncRNA from 1 species